UACAGAGGUCCCGAGCGUUGUUCGGAUUCAUUGGGCGUAAAGGGUGCGUAGGCGGCGGGGUAAGUCAGGUGUGAAAUCUCGGGGCUCAACCCCGAAACUGCACUUGAUACUGCCUCGCUUGAGUUCGGGAGAGGGAAGCGGAAUUCCGGGUGUAGCGGUGAAAUGCGUAGAUAUCCGGAGGAACACCGGUGGCGAAGGCGGCUUCCUGGACCGACACUGACGCUGAGGCGCGAAAGCUAGGGGAGCAAACGGG
rnacentral:rRNA from 1 species